UGGGGAAUCUUGCACAAUGGGGGAAACCCUGAUGCAGCGACGCCGCGUGAGCGAUGAAGGCCUUCGGGUUGUAAAGCUCUUUCGGCAGGGACGAUAAUGACGGUACCUGCAGAAGCAGCUGCGGCUAACUACGUGCCAGCAGCCGCGGUAAUACGUAGGCAGCAAGCGUUGUUCGGAGUUACUGGGCGUAAAGGGUGCGUAGGCGGCUUUUUAAGUUUGGUGUGAAAUCUCCCGGCUCAACUGGGAGGGUGCGCCGAAUACUGAGAGGCUAGAGUAUGGGAGAGGAAAGUGGAAUUCCUGGUGUAGCGGUGAAAUGCGUAGAUAUCAGGAGGAACACCGGUGGUGUAAACGGCUUUCUGGACCAUUACUGACGCUGAGGCACGAAAGCGUGGGUAGCAAACAG
rnacentral:rRNA from 1 species